rnacentral:tRNA from 1 species
UGGGAUGUAGUUCAUUGGUAAGCACUUGUCUGAUAUUCAUGAGGACCUGGGUUCAAUCCCUAGCAUUGCAA